CGUCGUAUCCUAUAUCAAUUCACGGCAGCUACUGACGUAUAAAUAGCAUUUGACCGCUGCUAAACUCCGAGGUUUGGGUGAAAGAUACAGACCGUUACCCUCCUCUUGGAAGAAUCCAAACAUGUCGACCAAGCAAGGAGGAAAAGCAAAGCCUCUCAAGCAACCUAAGGCUGCAAAGAAAGAAUACGACGAGAUCGACAAAGAAACUCUUAAAAAGAAGAGGGAAGAAGAAAAGGCUCUCAAGGAGCUAAAAGCUAAGGCUCAGCAAAAGGGUGCAUUUGGGGGCACUGGUUUGAAGAAAAGUGGGAAAAAAUAAAUUGAAUUGGCUUCAUGGAAAUUCUUUCAUUCUUUUGUUGUAUUCUUGACUUCUAGGAAACAAACGCC